AUUGAACGCUGGCGGCAUGCUUUACACAUGCAAGUCGAACGGCAGCGCGGGCUUCGGCCUGGCGGCGAGUGGCGAACGGGUGAGUAAUACAUCGGAACGUGCCCAGUAGUGGGGAUAGCCCGGCGAAAGCCGGAUUAAUAACGCAUACGAACUGAGGGUGAAAGCGGGGGGUCUUCGGAACUGCCGCUAUUGGAGCGGCCGAUGGCAUAUUAGCUAGUUGGUGGGGUAAAGGCCUACCAAGGCGACGAUCUGUAGCUGGUCUGAGAGGACGACCAGCCACACUGGGACUGAGACACGGCCCAGACUCCUACGGGAGGCAGCAGUGGGGAAUUUUGGACAAUGGGCGAAAGCCUGAUCCAGCAAUGCCGCGUGUGUGAUGAAGGCCUUCGGGUUGUAAAGCACCUUUGGCGGGAACGAAAAGGACUGUGCCAAUACCACGGUUCGAUGACGGUACCCGCAGAAUAAGCACCGGCUAACUACGUG
rnacentral:rRNA from 1 species